CCCAAACCUUUCCAGCUUUGAAGUCUGCCGGGAGGGGGGUUCCAAGCUGCUCGCGUUCCUGCAGGACGCCUCGGCUUUGGCUCGGGGCUCCCUCCCUUGUCCGGUUGGGGCUCUGUGGAGCGCUCCGGAAGGGGAAAAACGGGGUCAGGAGAGGCCCCCGCACUGGCAGCGCUGAGUUCUUUUUCUCUGGGGUGCGCUCCGUUUGCAGCCAGGCGCUUCUCGCUCCUCCCCGCCGCCUGCGAUUGGAGUUGGAUUUCUCAUCUCGUGUGGGUUCGGCGGUCCAGGUGGAGAGCGGGCAGGGGCCAGGCUGCAGGUGGCCGCCAGCGUUGAUGGCGGGAUGUCUGGCGGGGCGACUGGGCGAGGUGUGGAGACGCCCAGGUUUGGCUGGAGAGAGGAAAGACAGCCCCUGGCCACCCGUCCUGGCAGGAUAGCCCGGCAGUGACGGGGAGGGGCUCCGAAGCGCUGCCUGGGAGCUGUGCAUCACCCCCAGGAGAGGAGGGUGGGCAGUUGAAACUGGGACCUGCCGCUCUGCACGCUCGGCGAACAAACAGAGUUGGGUGGGCUAAGUCUGGGGCAUGUUUUAGGUAGAAUUUAGGUGGAAUUUGAGUCCAUUGAUUUGUAAAUAACACCUUUUGAUAAAAAGCCUUUCGGUACGGUAUCUGAAACCAAAAAGACAAAUGCGCUGCCGUCCAGUUGAUUCCGAUUCCGACUCAUAGCGACCCCAUAGGACAGAGUAGAGCUGCCACAUAGAGUUUCCUGGUGGAUCUGAACUACCGGCGGUUAGUAGCCUUAGCACUUAACCACUAGGCCACCAGGGCCCCAGCGACCCUAUUAAAUAUCCAUUGCCAUGGAGUCAAUUCUGACUCACAGCGACCCUAUGUUGUUGUUGUUAGGUGCCAUCGAGUCAGAUCCAACUCAUAGCGACCCUGUGUACCACAGAAGGAAACACUGCCUGGUCCUGCACCAUCCUUACAAUUGUUGUUAUGCUUGAGCCCAUUGUUGUACCCACUGUGCCAAUCCAUUUCGUAAUACCAAAUUAAAAAAUAAAAAUCCGUUGCCCUCCAGUCGAUUGUGACUCAUAGCGACCCUAAAGAACAGAGCAGAACUGCCCCUAGGGUUCCCAAGCAGCACCUGGUGGAUUCAAACUGUCUACCUUUUGGUUCACAGCUAUAGCUCUUAACCACUAGGCCACCAGGGUUUCCAGUGACCCUAUAAUAGGUCAAAAAUAGGUCACCUCAAAUUGAGUAUUUGCUGCCUUCUUUCAUCCCCCUCGCCCUCCUGUGGUACUCCAGCCCCAGUUUUCCUAGAGUAGGUGCCUUGUCUGGGAGGCUUGGAGAAGCCUUAGGUUCAGCUGGGAACCCAAGUGAGGGUGGAGUUGGGGAACAGAAAGUUCAAGGGAACCUGGUAGGGUAGGCACAGAAAAGCAGAUCUUAUCAAUAUCCGGAGGAGGGGGAGGAAGUGGAAAGAUAGGAUUUAGGGGUGAGGAGCUGGGUGGACAGAGCAGCCCCCUGGGUCAUGGUUGCACUUAAUCUUGUGCGCUGUCAUUCAGCAGGUGGGUGAGCUGUGGCUGCCAUCCCAAAGUCCACGCAGGGAGGCCGGCUGCUCCCCAGGAAUUCUUACAUCAGGUGUUUACGUCUCCUUUAUGGGCUGAGAGCUGAAGGAAGACAUCUGUGGGUCUGGGCUAGCUUUACAUUAUUUCCUCGUUUACACUUAUUAAGGACAGCAAUUCUCCAACUUUAACUCAUAUUAGAAAUUAAAGCUGAGAAAUUUAAAAAAUAUUUGUUAAUUUGUUUAAAAAAAUAAGUCGAUUAUGUAUUAAUAGCAUUAACAUUUUUAUGAAAAAUUACAGUAUAUCCCCCUAAAUUUUAGGGCCGAGAGUGGCAUUGUUUUACAUUUUUGCAAAUCUGUUUAAUGUCUGUCUUAAUAGAUGACAGUGGGAGUCUCAUUUCUGCUUCUGCGUUUAGUCUGUUGCUAUAUCACAUGUUCUGUAGCCCAUGGAAAACUCCACUGUACGCCCAUGAGGGAAUGAGAAUGGAAGAGGAAGUAAUGGCUUAGUGUCAUUAUUUGAGGAAAUUUUGACUUCAUGAACCCCCCUAAAAGGGCCUUGGGGACCCCAGAGGUCCCUGGACCGUACUUUAAGAACUGCUGACUUUGAAUCAUUUUCUUAUUGUAAAAAAAAUUCAGCCCUGCCAACAUGCCUUUGGUCACAAGCCUGUUUUGAGCAAUGAUUUGUGAUGGAGCUGCCUGCCAUUGUAGGGGAAAAAAAAACCUUAAACGUACAGAAAACUGUAGGUAAGAAAAUGAAAACCACCUAUCGUAUCACAAUCCUAUGUGUUUGUAUUUUAAUAACAAAGAAUAGCAACUGACUGGUAUUUGAAUGGCUUGGAUUCAAGGUGGGUUGGGAAGACCUAAGUGGCCUUCAGGUUUUGAAUGGGGAUGAGGACUCUAAUAUCCCACAAAGCUGAUGCCAGUUCCUGGUUGCAGGCGGAGUUGACCUGGAAACCUCUCCUUGGCCACUGUUCUAUCUAAGGAACUCACCUUCCAGAGCCUGCCUGAACAGAACUGGUGGGGGACCCUUCUAGGAGCAGAGAAAAUGGCGACCUUCAGGCAGCUGUCCCUGGGCAUGAAGGCCACCCUGGCUGCUGGUAUUCUCUUCAUGUCCAUGAUCAUCUCCCGCUCUUAUCUGGCAGGGAGCCUGGAGCUCAGGGCCUGGCGUUGGCUGUUCCGCCUGCAGCUUGUCCUGUUUGUCAACUCGCUUAUGCUCAUUGGUUCCCUCUACAUCUGGCGUAGCACAGUGAGCAACCUCUGCCACUCCCCAGCCGCGGAGUCAGCCUGUUUUCGGCUCUGGAAGAUGGCUGUCGUGACGUUUCUGGCCCUGGCCCACUCCAGUUUCUUCACCAUGCUCUUUUUAGUGGCCGAGGAGCCCUAUCUCUUCUCCUUGGCAGCCUACUCCUGCCUCGGGGCAUACAUCAUCAUGGUCUUCUUCCUCUGUAUCCUCAGUGGCAUGGAACAGGCCUACCAGUUCUUGGCCUGGCGCAGUGGCAGGGUUGUCAGCAGCCUUGAUAAGACAAGGAGGCUGGCACUCAGGCCGGCCUUGGCGGUGGCAGUGACCACCAUGCUCAGCGUGGUUGGCUUUCUGAAUGCUGCCCAGCCUCCAGCCGUGAAAACCGUGGAGGUGCCCAUCCAUCAGCUGCCCCCCUCUAUGAACAAUCUCAAGAUUGCACUCCUUUCAGACAUCCACUUGGGCCCCACAGUGGGCAGGACCAAGAUGGAGAUGUUUGUGAGGAUGGUGAACGUGCUGGAGCCAGACAUCACAGUGAUCGUGGGUGACCUGUCCGAUUCGGAAGCAUCGAUCCUGCAGACGGCCGUGGCCCCCUUGGGCCAGCUUCGUUCACGCCUUGGCACCUACUUCGUCACUGGAAAUCAUGAGUACUACACGUCGGAUGUCAGCAACUGGUUUGCACUGCUGGAAUCCCUGCACGUUCGGCCCCUUCACAAUGAGAAUGUGAAGAUUUCUGCAACAGGGGCCCAACAUGGUGGUCAUGAAGAUGGCGACUGGAUCUGCUUGGCUGGGGUGGAUGAUAUCGAAGCAGAUAUCCUGCACUACGCUGGCCACGGCAUGGACCUCGUCAAGGCCCUGGGGGACUGCAGCCCAGACCAUACCACCAUCUUGCUAGCUCACCAGCCCCUGGCUGCCAAGAGAGCCCUCCAGGCACGGCCAGAUAUUAACCUGAUCCUUUCUGGGCACACACACGCUGGGCAGAUCUUCCCCUUGAACGUGGCGGCCUAUCUCCUGAACCCUUUUUUUGCUGGUCUCUACCACGUGGCCCAGACAACGUUUGUGUAUGUCAGCCCAGGCACGGCCUACUAUGGAAUACCAAUGAGGCUGGGUAGCAGGGCAGAGAUUACGGAGCUCAUCCUGCAACAGGCCCCCUGAGCACGGCCCUGCCCUUGCCCUUCACUCUGUCCUCUCGUCUUCAGAGUAGUCUGCCUGCUUUACCUCCACAGCCUCUCCUGCCCAGCCCUGCCAGCACGCCCUUGGUCACAAGCCCCAUUUGAACAGUGAUUUGCCCUGGAGCUGCCUAUCAAGUUCAGAGCCAGGUUAACUCUGUAGAUGGCCGGUUGCCUUUUUAUAUGCUUUUGUGUGGCCACCAUGGUCAUGUAUAUAAGAACGUGCAUAUAUUUUCUGAAUGGUGUGAUGUGAGACCCUCCUUCUAUGUGUAGUUCACAGUAAGAAUCCAAACAUGGGGCUGCUUUAGAGGGAUCCCUCUAGAAAGCGGAGCAGGGAAGGAGCAGGCGUGUUUUCCUCUUGGUGUUUUUCACCCAUCUUUAGGACUUAGCUUCCAGAAUCAUUGAUCCAGAACUUUUCUGAGGAUGGGAGCAGUCUUGUUGGGAAAUCUGGGAGAGCAGGCAAGAUGGAGGCCCCUCUGAGUACUGGAGAAGAAUGGCUUAUUUUCCCCCUUGACCCUGUCAGAGUCACCUUUAUCAAAGGCAUCAGUAAAACCCGCUGGGACACAAGGCGUACCUUGUACACAGCGUUAGCUGCUGCUGUUUAACUGCCUGUUCUCCUGGACCUUUGAGGGUGGGGGGAGGUGGAAAGAAAUAUGAACAGUGUGGUAGGUGAUGAUAACAAUCCUGCUGCUUAGGAAUUCUGAGGGGUUUUUGCCUCCCUCAUCUUGCUUAUACAACACAGGUGAGCAGCAGGGUUGAGUCCCUCCAGUCAGGGCAGGCGUCCUUGUUCCCUGUUGGAGAAAGACUCCCAGUCAUAAGAAAAUCAACAGUGGGCCCAGGUCCUCAGCCUUCUCAGUGAGGUCCUUUCUGACAGGAUGGGUAUUUGACCCUAGGUUCAAAGGGCCUCUCAUUUCUGACAUGAGAGGUGGGCUGACAAGAGUAGGGUUGAGGUGAGGUGGAGCCCUGGUGGCACAGUGGUUAAAGUGCUUGGCUGCCAACCGGUUCGCUGGCGGUUCGAACCCACCAGCCACUGUGCAGGAGAAAGAUGUGGUGGUCUGCUUCUAUAAAGAUUUACGGGCUUGGAAACCCUAUAGGGCAGUUCUGCCCUGUCCCGUAGGGUCACUAAUGAGUCAGAAUCGACUUGAGGGCAGUGGGUUUACCUUUCUUGGGUGGGUGAGGUAAUUAGGGACAGGCUGUUUUUCCCUGUUUACAGGUGAGGACAGUGAGGCAUUGGCAACAUGGUGAGGUGAGGGGGAGAUUCGGUGCCAGAAGCCAGACCUUCCACCUCCCAAUAAAAGUGUUCUUUGCACCGUCUGAGGGUUACGUUACAGGUGCAUGCAGGAUUGAAACGUGGAAAGAGAAUGAACAAGGAACUGUAGAGCCUGAUGUUCUUUCAAAAUGAUUUCCUUGAAACUGGUUUCAAUUCACAUACAACUGCAUGAACUGGAACCUGGAAGGGAGUCGGCUCAUUUCUGUUCAGGAUGUUGGUUAAUUCUGAAGAAGAGCCAGGGAACUGAAACCCCCCUCCCAGGUUUGAGUCUGAGUUUUUGUGAGAAGCCAAAGUUCACUCUGCCAAAGGGGAAGUCCAGGCUUGGAUGGGAGUGGCGAGGCUCUGUGUGUCAGGCAGGGCUUCCCUUCCACUUGGCCCUGCCUGUGGAGUUCUGGGAUUGUCCUUCCUGAUGGGUGGCUUCCAGCCCACCUGCCUGAUCCCUUAAGAGCUGACCUUGGAUGAUAGGGCCAUCUCUGCUGGCCUCUCGACCAUGUUUAGAAUCAACCCUACUCUUGUCAGCCAGAGACGAGAGGCCCUUUGACCCUAGGGUGAAAUACACAUCUUGUUAGGAAAGACCUGACUGAGAAGACUGGGGACUUGGGCCCAGUGUUGAUUUUCUUAUGACUGGGAGUCUUUCUCCAACAGAGAACAGAGACACCUGCCCUGACUGGAGGGACUCAACUCUGCUGCUCACUGGUCAGGCAGCAUGGGGCGAGUGACUUGAUCUCAUUGAGCCUCAGCUUUCGUCAGCCAUAAGAUGGGGGUUAUUGUAUCUACCUCAAGAUUGUUUCAUUGGGAGAGUAUUCAGAGAUGGUGCAAGAGUUGCCCGUAGCACAGAAAACACAGUAAGCACUCAAAUGUUAGUUUUUAAACGUCCCAAUGAGGCUUGCUAAGGAAUGGUUCCCUGUCAGUCUUGGGCAUGGGUAACCAGAGAACGCGUGGAGCAGCCAAUCUGGGGAACAGGUGGGCAGCUGCCGUCUGCUGCCGGGACCCGUGGAUUUGUCAAAGUAGCAAUUGCGGGCGUUUGCUCUCUUCUGUCUGUGUACGUGUCUCUUUGUGCAUGCUCUGCCUGGCCAGAGGGAAUGUCUUCAUUUUCCUUCUUGUUUCCUCGUCUACAAUGGGGUACCCAGGGGAUCCUGGAGAAUAGCCCUUUUGUUCCCUGGAAGCCAAGGUAUGUGAUAGCGGGCCAUCCACUCAAGUUUAAAAUGUGUCUUUGAGUUGAGAUUCUGGUGGGUUGCUUACCGUUUCCCCUUGUGUUUGAUUAUCCUUAUAGCCGGGAAUACAUUUGGGAGAAGGGACCAAGGAAGGGACCCCAGUGAGCCGUUCUUUCAACACAUUUUGCAAAUGGGAUUGUAGGAGAGGUGCAGUACCUUGCCCAGGUUGGUGGCCCAGCACCCAGUUCGCCGGGUCCUUUCUCCAUGGCACCACGUGGUGGUUGCCACCCCUCUGCCUCUCGGGGAGGCUGCUCUUCCAAACGUUCUUACUUUUUUGUGGUCGAUCCCAUUUUGGGGGAUCACUCUUACUGGCUUUUCAGCUCUCUUUUGUUUUGGAUUUCACCAGACUGGGCACGUUGGGAGGAAAUCCUGGUGGCAUAGUAGUUAAGUGCUACAGCUGCAAACCAAAAGGUUGGCAGUUUGAAUCCACCAGGUGUUCCUUGGAAACUCUAUGGGGCCCUUCUACUCUGUUCUAUAGGGUCGCUAUGAGUCAGAAUCAACUCAAAGGCAACAGGUUUGGUCUUUUUUUUGCUUGGGCAUGUUGGGCAGGCCUUGUGCUCUUCAGUGGGGUGGGUGACGUUUGACUCACCUGAUACACCACUUCAUGGUUUUUUGACUUUGGGUCAUUCUCAUCAGUGCCCUGAGCUUGAUGAAACUGGUUUUCCUCAAAUCCUUUUUUUUUUUUCUUGUUUCCUUUUUUCUUCUCAAAUGCCAGCAUUUUGUGGCCUUGUACACCCUCCAAUCUCCCUGAAGUCCUUGCUGGAUGGAUUCCUCUUUGCUAACAGAAAUAAAACAGGCCCAUCCCACGUGCCCAUGAAAUAGUUGUCAACACUUCUCACACUUGCUUUGUAUUCCCAGACCUGGUGGAAGUUUUCCCAGCAGAAAUUUCUUCGUUACUAUCCAGAUAUUGCCUGGUGGGGGCUCUAUAUGGCACCCUUUAUACCUCUGUCCUUUGUUCUUUACCCAUUUACCUUCUUUGUUUCGUUUAUGUGGUGGCUAGGGAGAGGUGGUGGGAAUUACCAGGAACUGUUACUUGAAGCUCAGUAAUUCUUGCCAUUUCAUUUUUUCUUUUAAUGCUAAAUGUAAGUUAAAAUGAAAGCUAAUGCCUUUUAAAAAUUAAAAAUAGCAUGUAUGUUGUUGUAUGCCAUCAAGUCGCAUGAUGUUGUUGUAGUAGCAAUAAUUUAAUCCUCCUGCCUGUCAAUUCCAGAUAUCCAUCCAUCCAUUUUUUUCCUUAUUUUGACUUAAACUUUAUUACAGACGUUUAAAAAUAUUCAAAAAGUAGAAAAGCAUGUUGAAUUCCCAUGAACUCAUCACCCAGCUUCAACACUUGUGACCGUUUUGCCGUUCUCUCUCACCUACCCCCUGCCCCACAUCCUUAUAUUAUUAUUAUUUUUGGCGGGGAGAGGGCUGAAGUACAUUAAGGCAAAUCCUAGAAAACAUGUAAUUUCACACAAAUAUUUCAGCACAUUUUUUUUAAAGCAUAGCCAUAGUGCUUAUAAUUAUCAUAUUUAACAAAAUUAACAGUGAUUCUUUAACAUCAUCUAAUAUCCAGUUAGCAUUCAGUUUUUCCUAAAUUAUCUGUUAUAUCUCUUUAUAAUUCUUUUAUUGAAACAAGAUCUUAAAACAAGGUUGUUACGUUGUGCUUUGAUACAGCUCCUAAAUCUCUUUAAAUCUAUAACCUUCUCCAUUUCCCCAUUUUAGGUCAUUUAUUUGCUCAAGUUACCUGGGACAUAUGUCUUAGAAUUUCCCACAUUUUAGAUCUGUGGUGUUCUUUAACAUGUUCUUCUAUUGCUUGUAUUUCCUGUAAACUGGUACUUAGUGCUGGAGGCUGGAUUAGAUUCACGUUGAACUCUUUUGGUUGGAAGACUUGGUGCUGAGUCCCUGCUAUUACAUCCCACUGGGACUGGCACUUCGCCUUCAGUAGUGCUGAGAUUGACCAGUGGGCUCAGGUGUUGUCAGCCUGAUACGUCUUGUCCACUGUCAAGUCCUCAUCAUCUUUUCGUCUAAUGUUUUAGCGGCCAUUGGUGAUUGUGGCUGAGAGGGGUUGCCAAUGGGUGAUUUUUUAAAGCCCAUCUUUUCUUCUACGUUUACUAGCUGUGAUUCUUCUACAAAGAACUUUCCUCAUUAACUGUUUGCUUAUUCUAUAAAAGUAUGUAUAGUAAAGGCAAGCUAGAUGCUUGAUUCUUCCCAUCUAUUUAUCAAUUUUCAGAAUAAUGAAUUGGGGCUCUAGCAACCUCCAAGGUUGACCAAUAAGUUUUUCUUUUCUUUUUUUGGUGGUGGUGUUGGUGCAUAUUUUCAUGAAUUUGCAUAUUUUCCAUAUCUGAUGUGUUUCGGUCCGUUAAAAUCAUAAAUAUUUUGAUGCUCAGAGUAUCCCAUCUUUGGUCAUUUGGGGCCCCUUUAAAGGGUCAUCUUGAUGUGACUGUAAUAGUUUUUGAUAGUCUUAGACUCGUCUUGUGCAUACUCUGUCUCAGACUUGGUUAAGGAAGUUUUUGAAGGAAGAGUCCUGGUUCUAACUUUUAGUGGGAAUAUUUAGAGACUACAAUUACAGGAGCUAUUUGCUACUGACUAGUAUCUUUUCUAACCUAUUUCUGUGGGUUGUACCAGGAAAUAAAAUAUUUUUUCUUAGAAAAAGAAAAAUUUAUUCUAGUAUUUCCAGUUCAAAUGGAAGAAUACAAGUUUUUAACUUAACUUUCUUGGAUUUUUUUUUUUCUCUUUUACACUAACAGUGUAACAACCUGACAUAAUUACUUAUUUACUUUAUCCUACUAUAUUAUGAUUCAAAAUAAUAAUACCAAUGUUAUUAAGAUGAACUCUACUGGACGUAGCAGGGUUUUUUUUUUUUUUGAAUACAGUUUAAGGUUUAUUUUUUCUUCUUAGGCUCAAUACAAUCAAAACUCUAUUUCACAGUCACUUGAAAUAAUUCUUUUGUGUGUAGAAAGUUAGAUUUCUUUGUUUUCAGUUUUUAAGAUUUGUAUUUUUUAAUUUAAUUUCAUUGUUUCAACUAUGCACUUAUCUUUUCUCUGAGAUGAGGGAGAAGAAUUAAAUCUGUAAAUGUCUGUGAGUCUGUGAGGAUUGGGUACUAGCACCAGACCAUGUGCUUGUUUCUAGUCCAUUCUGCCAUUUUCCUUCCUCUUCGAUUAUAAUGUACAUUCUUUAUCCAGCCUUUAGGAAUGCUGGGAAAAAGUCUUUUUGGAACAAGACAGGCAUACAUAAAUAAUAAAAAUAGAACACACACUACAGCAGGUCAUCCAGAAGUUUGUUCAGAUCCAUGGUUGAGUUUCAGCCAUUCCCUGGGGUUGUUUUGCUGUUUCUUCAGUGUGUCUGAUGUGAUGUAAUGGUGCUUUAAAGGUCUAAGCUCUGGCAUAAUCAAAUUUGUCAUGUAAUCACCUAAAGUAUUCUUUGUCUUCGUUCUGUGAACUCUGGAAUCUGAGAGACCCAUAGCCAUGGAUUGAAUUGUGUCCCCCCAAAAUAUGUGUCAACUUGGCUAGGCCAUGAUUCCCAGUAUUGUGUGAUUGUCCACCAUUUUGUCAUCUGAUGUGAUUUUCCUAUGUGUUGUAAAUCCUAUCUCUAUGAUGUUGAUGAGAAGGGUGGGAUUAGUGGCAGGUAUGUGAAUGAGGCAGGACUCAACCUACAAGAUUAGGUUGUGUCUUAGCCAAUCUCUUUUGAGAUAUAAAAGAGAGAAUUGAGCAGAGAGACAUGGGGACCUCAUACCAUCAAAAAACAAGAGCCAGGAGAAUAGCGUGUCAUUUGAACCUGGGUACCCCGUUUUGAGAAACUCUUUGACCAAGGGCAGAUUGAUGACAAGGACUUUCCUCCAGAGCCAACAGAGGGAGAAAGCCGUCCCCUGGAGGUGAUGCCCUGAAUUCGGCCUUCUAGCCUUCUAGACUGUGAGAGAAUAAAUUUCUCUUUGUUAAAGCCAUCCACUUGUCAUAUUUUUGUUAUAGCAGCACUAGAUGACUAAGACACUCAUGGUGUAAAAACCCUCUUCUCCCCCUUCCUUUUUUUCUUCCCUCAGUUCCUUUUCCCUCACCCCUAGGGUGCUAGAAGAUGGGGUCUUUGCUGCCCUAGAGCUGAACAGCUCCUGCCAGGAGUUCCUGAGAUUCCUGGGUCUCUGGGGGUGAGUUGAAAAGGGGCCUCACAGGUGACUUGAAUGGAGAUAUGGUGGGGCCAUCUUUAAGCCUUUGAGGAGUGGACACUAAUAUCCGCAAUUCCAGGAGGACUGUGGAAUCACUUCAGAUUUAUAUCGAUUGGGGGCAUGGAUGGGAUAGUUUCAGGACUUCUACUUGACUUUCCCUCCAUUGUGGCUCAUUCAUGGCAAGGGUUGUGCUGGCUGUUAAGUAAAUCCAUCCCUAUUUGCACUUAGGACAAGGGAAAUCACCAUAGGUAAAGUUUACAUGCAAUGAAAUGCAGAAAUAUUAAGCACACCAGUUGAUGAGUUUGGCAAAUGCACACCCCGUGUAACCUGAAACCCUAUCCAGCCAUAGGACAUUACCAUUCCCCAGGAAGUUCCUUCAAGCCCUUCCCAGGAAAUACCUGCCCCACCCUGCAGAAGCAAUAACUGUUCUGAUUUUUCCUCACUGUAAUUAGAUUUGCCUGUUCCAGACCUUCAUGUAAAUGGGUUCCUGCUCCAUGAACACAUUUGUGUAAGGCUUCUUUCACUUAGCCUCCCAUUUCUGAGAUUCAUUCACGUUGUUGCAAGUAUCAGUAGUUCUUUUUUAUUGCUGAGUAGUAUUUCGUCAUAUGAAUACACCACAGUUUGUUUAUCUGUUCCCCCGUUGGUAGACGUUUGGGUUGUUUCCAGUUUUGGACUAUUCUGCAUACAGCUGCUAUGAGCAUUCUGAACAUUCUUCUGUAAGUCUUUUCAUGGAUACAUGUUUUUAUUUCUCUUGUAAUCAGUCUACUUUAAAAAAUAUAUAUUUUAUUGUAUUUGAA